CAAUAGCGUAUAUUAAAGUUGUUGCAGUUAAAAAGCUCGUAGUUGGAUUUCGGGGCAGCCUGGCUGGUCCGCCGCAAGGCGAGUACUGGUCAGCCGCCCUUCCUCUCGAAAGCCCCGACUGCUCUUUAUUGCAGUGGUCGGGUAGUCCGGGACGUUUACUUUGAAAAAAUUAGAGUGUUCAAGGCAGGCCUACGCCUGAAUACAUUAGCAUGGAAUAAUGGAAGAGGACCUCGGUCCUAUUUUGUUGGUUUCCAGGACCGAAGUAAUGAUUAAGAGGGACAGUUGGGGGCAUUCGUAUUUAAUUGUCAGAGGUGAAAUUCUCGGAUUUAUGAAAGACGAACAACUGCGAAAGCAUUUGCCAAGGAUGUUUUCAUUAA
rnacentral:rRNA from 1 species